rnacentral:rRNA from 1 species
ACCUCAGUAACGGCGAGUGAAGCGGUAACAGCUCAAAUUUGAAAGCUAGCUCUUUUAGGGUUCGCAUUGUAAUUUGUAGAAGAUGCUUCGGGUGUGGCCCCGGUCUAAGUUCCUUGGAACAGGACGUCAUAGAGGGUGAGAAUCCCGUAUGUGACUGGGUGCUUUCGCUCAUGUGAAGCUCUUUCGACGAGUCGAGUUGUUUGGGAAUGCAGCUCAAAAUGGGUGGUAAAUUUCAUCUAAAGCUAAAUAUUGGCCAGAGACCGAUAGCGCACAAGUAGAGUGAUCGAAAGAUGAAAAGCACUUUGGAAAGAGAGUUAAACAGUACGUGAAAUUGUUGAAAGGGAAGCGCUUGCAACCAGACUUGCGCGCUGAUGAUCAUCCGGGCUUCUGUCCGGUGCACUCGUCUGCGCUCAGGCCAGCAUCGGUUUCGGUGGUGGGAUAAAGGCCUUGGGAAUGUAGCUCCUCUCGGGGAGUGUUAUAGCCCUCGGUGCAAUGCCGCCUACCGGGACCGAGGACCGCGCUUCGGCUAGGAUGCUGGCGUAAUGGUUGUAAGCGACCCGUCUUGAAACACGGACCAAGGAGUCUAACAUCUAUGCGAGUGUUUGGGUGUCAAACCCAUACGCGUAAUGAAAGUGAACGGAGGUGAGAACCCUUAAGGGUGCAUCAUCGACCGGUCCUGAUGUCUUCGGAUGGAUCUGAGUAAGAGCAUAGCUGUUGGGACCCGAAAGAUGGUGAACUAUGCGUGAAUAGGGUGAAGCCAGAGGAAACUCUGGUGGAGGCUCGCAGCGGUUCUGACGUGCAAAUCGAUCG